GUCAAUGCAGUUGCUUGUACAACACGUGAAUUGUGCGCGCGUGUAUUAGUUGCCGAUUGAUAUUUAUUACUAACAUUCUUACGUUCGGUAACGUACGUGAUUGCUAUUUGUCAUGUUCAAUGCAAAUCGAAUUAUUGCGUUUUUAUUGUUGGUCUUCGACGCGUUCGCAAGUCGUUCGGUUCUCGGCGGUGUGCGCGUACUCGCCGAUGAGUUUUUGGCAGAAAACAACGCGCGCGCGCGAACUUUUUUGAUUCAAUAAUAUAGAUUUCCGUGAUUUACCGCCUUCUAUGCGAAUAAACUGUUGAUUAACAAUCAACGUCCUGUAUACUUCGAUUUUCAGUCGGUGGUCCGUUCGUUUGCGCUGCACCGAAACAUUGCUACAGAAAUGGAUACCGCGACUGCAGUUCGAACGGUAUUCGUUACAUUGCGUAAUGCGCAAACAAUUCGAUAUAUCCGCGCGAUAAUAACAAUGUGACAGUAGGUACACUUUCCCUCGAUGAAAAUCCGGCAGCUUGCUGUGGGCCAACGGGAUUAACACGAUAUAAGACCGGUACGAAAAAAAAGAGGUAAGAUUAAUACAAGAAAAGCGCCUGAAUUUUCGGUAGGAAGGUAUGCCGAUCGCGUUCAAGUACACGGAAUUGCCUUCCAAUCAAGCCGAACCCGACCGGUUGAAAACUCGGCGAGAUACGUACCUUUGGGUUUCAAAACGAACAGAUAUACACGUGACGUUAUUGAGGCACAAGCACCGCCGACCAGAUAUUAUUUCUUGCUCGGCACUUACCGCGACGUUUCACAAAGGAAAUGUGAUUGUAAGCCCGCGCGUGUAUUAUACGCACAACACGUCCUUCGUGCAAACGGUAUUUAGAUGUGGAGACCACGAGAACCACUUAACCUUAUUGGCGUACGAUAAUAUUGUAUUAAUUGUCGUACGAUAUCUUCAACCCGUCAACGAGUGCCACUUCGUUCGAGAAGAAUGUUAGUGUGUACGAGCGGCAUCUGUCAAAUCCGUUCCGAAUGUCACCAGGUACUCGAGCACACGGGGGACAAAUAAUACUGCUCAGACAGGACUAUACGUUUACGGCGAGCGGCGAGCAAACUCGAACUUGUUGCGUUUUUCCGUUCAAGUGUACAUCUAUCGAUGUACAAGCAUAACAUUUAUUAACAAAUAUCACUCACGCAAUAAACGUAUUUCACUUGUCGCGGUUUAGCAGCCGUACAAUCGUUUUUAUCGUGUUCUUUACGUACGGAUCGAAUUCUUAGUUGGAUUACACUAACUUAUAUCGUUUUCAGAUUCAAAUUAUUGCUCAACUGCAUUGCACUGCAGUUUUUUUUUUCAACCUAACACAAUUAUUUAUAUUGAUUAUUUUCAGUCCCCGUAUUUGCAUACGACAAAUAAAUUAUAAACUUCGUUGUUGGUUGUUGUGUAUCAAAGCGUGGAGUUUUCCCAAGGCUAUGUACCACGCUCAGUAAUAUCUGAGAAUAAUGUUUUUGGCCAUUCCAUUGCAUUUUGUAAUUAAGCAUAUCACAUGACCUAAUUCAUUAAACGCCAUUUGACGAAUGCAGUUACUGUAAUGUACUCGUACGAUUCAACGGUAUCUAUACUACUUAUUAUCAUCCCGGCUGUAAGACGAGAUCACGGGCAUGGGCGUAUUUCCUGUUCUUUAUUUCCCAAGGUAAACAUUCUGAGCAAAAUAUGAUACUUAUUGUGUCAAAUUACUUUAAGUUAGAAAAAAAAAUCAAUGACACC